rnacentral:tRNA from 1 species
GGAAGGGACAGCUCAGCAGUAGAGCACAUGCUUAGCAUGCAUGAGGUCCUGGGCUCAAUCCCCAGUACUUCCA